UACGUAGGGGGCAAGCGUUGUUCGGAAUUACUGGGCGUAAAGGGCGCGUAGGCGGCACGGCAAGUCAGGAGUGAAAGCCCUGGGCUCAACCCGGGAACUGCCUUUGAAACUGCCGAGCUAGAGUGCGGAAGGGGCAACUGGAAUUCCCAGUGUAGCGGUGAAAUGCGUAGAUAUCAGGAAGAACACCCGUGGCGAAGGCGGCUCUCUGGGACGGUACUGACGCUGAGACGCGAAAGCGUGGGGAGCGAACAGG
rnacentral:rRNA from 1 species